GCUACAGAUAUUCACUUCUAAACAUAAAGUUCCCUCUUUGUGGUUUAAGUUGUUUCUCCUCUUCUACCUCAAAACUCAGCAUCAACACAACUAUUCCAGGUGAACAGAACCAUGACAACCUGCGAAUUUUCUCUUUAGAGGAACUGGAAAUCGCCACUCAUGGCUUCUCUUACUCGAACAAAAUUGGAAAAGGUGCCUUAGGUUCUGUGUACAGGGGCCGUUUGCAGGAUUGUUCUAUUGUAGCUGUGAAGGUUCUUUCUGUGGAGAUUGAAUCGAUGCGAGUAGAGAGAGAAUUCAUAUCUGAAUUAGCUGCACUAUCUAGUAUCAAGCAUGAAAAUCUUGUUAAAUUUCAAGGUUGCUGUGUUGAUGGAACCAGCAGAUUUUUGGUCUACGAUUACAUGGAAAACAAUAGCCUAGCACAGACCCUACUUGGCAAAGAGCGAAACAGGAUGAAAUUUAGCUGGGAAGCUAGGAGGGACAUUUCUUUAGGAGUUGCUCGUGGACUUGCCUAUCUUCAUGAGGAGGUUGAACCUCAAAUUGUGCAUAGGGAUAUAAAAGCAAGCAAUAUACUUCUUGAUCAAAAUUUUACUUCCAAAGUUGCUGAUUUUGGUCUUCCCAGGAUACUUAGAGACAAGGUUUCCCAUGUUAGUACUCGAGUUGCAGGGACAUUGUAAGUGGUAUCUGCAUUAUUGUUUUCUUUGUUUAUACUGCUAAAUUAAGAAAAACACCAUAGCUAAUGAGAUAUCUUGGAUUCACAAAUGCAAAAAUAAGAGGAUACCUUGCUUCAGAACACGCCAUUAAGGGACAUUUGAGUCGAAAAUCGGUUGUUUACAGUUUCGUAGUACUGCUGUUGGAAAUUAUCAGUGGGCGAUCUGCAGUGGAUUUUGACUUGGAACUUGGUGAAAAUUGCCUAGUUCAAAAGGUAAAAAUGUUAAUCACAUGCUUAGUCAUUAUUAUGAUUGCUCUUGGAAUUGGAUUAUGAAUACCUUCACCACAGCCUUGUGUUCUUGUUUAGACGAUGCCCUUUUCUCUGUGUGUGUGUGUUUGUGUGAAUAUCUGCAGGCUUGGCAAGCAUAAGAGGCCAGCAAACUUAUACAAUUAGUAGACCCUACUCUUACUAUGAAUUUCCCACAAGAAGAAGCUCUUCAGUUCUUGAAGGUGAGCCUUCUUUGCGUACAAGAAGUAGCCAGGCUCCGGCCACAAAUGUCAGCGGCCGUUAAAUUGUUGAAUAAUGAAACUGAUAUCCGAAAUGUUCAGAUUUCUCAACCUGGAGUUGCAUCAAAUUUCAAACGUAUCAGAUUACAUCAGGAACACACAUCUGAAAGCACUUCCUCCGGGGGAUCAACCAUCAUGAGCUUGCCUAGUACUACAUAUUUUUAGUCCAUUACGCCUGUUAUAGAGACGGAGAAAGGGAAAGAAAAUAUUGUUUUUGCUUGUAUGAUAUCAAAAGGGC
rnacentral:misc_RNA from 1 species